UACAGAGGUCCCAAGCGUUGUUCGGAUUUACUGGGCGUAAAGGGUGCGUAGGUGGCGGGGUAGGUCUGGUGUGAAAGCUCCGAGCUCAACUCGGAAAAGCAUUGGAAACUAUCCCGCUUGAGGGUCGGAGGGGAGACUGGAAUUCUCGGUGUAGCAGUGAAAUGCGUAGAUAUCGAGAGGAACACCAGUGGCGAAGGCGAGUCUCUGGACGACUCCUGACACUGAGGCACGAAAGCUAGGGGAGCAAACAGG
rnacentral:rRNA from 1 species